rnacentral:lncRNA from 1 species
GCAAAUUGUGACUUCUAAGGGCCACCAAGUUGUGGGGAUGAAGAAAACUCUGGUUUUUUACAGAGGAAAGCCCCCCCAUGGCACUAGGACUGAUUGGAUCAUGCAUGAAUACCGCCUUGCAAGCACUGAAACCACAGCCUGCAAUACCCUGAAAAAUAAAAAUUCAACUCAGGUAGAGGUUUUACUGGGUACAUUUUCUUUUCUACCAAGCUAUUUAAAAAUCAGAUCUUUAAAACCCAUUUCCACUAAAAUUCAUCUCUCUGUUCCUGCAAAGUACAAUUCCUGAAAAAGAAAAAACCUUGAGCACGUUUAACCACUUGAAUACAUUAUUGUUGCUAACUCUGUUCAUGCUUGCGGGUCAAAUUGAUCAUUUCUGUCGAAUUUUCUGCAGGGC